AUUUUCUUCACCAACGACCAUCAUCUCUCAGUCCAGCUAAUAACUUUGUAUCUGCGAUGGGAAAAGCAGCGUCAGCAGCCUCCGCUGGGUCAAGCGUGGCAUCAGGAGUGGGAGAAAUCGUUAGAUUUGUCGGGGAGGCGAGGGGCUGGGUCAAACACCACACCAUUGUGGCCAACGCAACUGACCAAACGAUCUACGUUAAAGUGACCGCUCCGCAGCAGUCCGUCAAGGAAGAAGUUCCACCAAAUAAUGCCGUAUCAUUCCAAACGGAUAAGGGUCAAGUCACUGUAAUGUUGUUUAGUGAUAGUAGCUAUAGCAAUUCAAUUACAACAAAAGUCUUGGAUUCUGAUCUCAGUGUCAUUGUCAAGAGUAGCAAUGGUCACCCAUAUAUAGUGAGGUCAAAGUAUGGCACAAUUUGGCAAGAGGCAUAAAUAGAGAGUAUUCACUAGCAGCAAUCGGGGGAAAUAUACCUGCUGUUGUCCUACUUGCCAUAUUAAAUUUGCUGCACUUUGACAAGUGGACUAAAGAGUCUUGCUUCCAUCUCUCAGCCCAUACUUUGGAAUAUGAUAGAUAGAUAGAUAGAUACUUUAUUGAUUCCCCAAGGGAAUAUGCUCUAUUUUGCCUCCAUCACUCAGCCCAUACUGUGGAAUAUGAUAGAUAGAUAGAUAGAUAGAUAGAUAGAUAGAUAGAUAGAUACUUUAUUGAUUCCCCCAAGGGAAUAUGCCCUAUUUUGCUUCCAUCACUCAGCCCAUACUUUGGAAUAUGCUCUAUAUGGAAUAUGCUCUAUAUGGAUUAAUAUACUCUAUAUGGAAUAUGCUCUGUAUGGAUGAAUAUGCUCUAUAUGGAUUAAUAUACUCUAUAUGGAAUAUGCUCUAUUUUGCUUCCAUCACUUUGGAAUAUGCUCUAUAUGGAAUAUGCUCUAUAUGGAUUAAUAUGCUCUAUAUGGAUUAAUAUGCUCUAUAUGGAUUAAUAUGCUCUAUAUGGAAUAUGCUCUAUUUUGCUUUUGCUGUCAUUCUCUGCACAUUUGUAAUGGUACAUAAUUACAUAAUUGCCGGACAAUAAUAACAUAAACUUUAAGCCUGACUGAAUCACUAGUAGGAGGAGUUGCAUUGUCCAUUAUGGUGUAAUUUCAAUAAAAUCUUU